CUAUCUGCAGUCGACGCUUCUUUUUCCACCGGAGCUUGCUCCACCGGAAAAAGAGGAGUGGCGAACGGGUGAGUAACACGUGGGUAACCUGCCCAUCAGAAGGGGAUAACACUUGGAAACAGGUGCUAAUACCGUAUAACAAUCAAAACCGCAUGGUUUUGAUUUGAAAGGCGCUUUCGGGUGUCGCUGAUGGAUGGACCCGCGGUGCAUUAGCUAGUUGGUGAGGUAACGGCUCACCAAGGCCACGAUGCAUAGCCGACCUGAGAGGGUGAUCGGCCACAUUGGGACUGAGACACGGCCCAAACUCCUACGGGAGGCAGCAGUAGGGAAUCUUCGGCAAUGGACGAAAGUCUGACCGAGCAACGCCGCGUGAGUGAAGAAGGUUUUCGGAUCGUAAAACUCUGUUGUUAGAGAAGAACAAGGAUGAGAGUAACUGUUCAUCCCUUGACGGUAUCUAACCAGAAAGCCACGGCUAACUACGUGCCAGCAGCCGCGGUAAUACGUAGGUGGCAAGCGUUGUCCGGAUUUAUUGGGCGUAAAGCGAG
rnacentral:rRNA from 1 species